AGGUGGAUGGCCGAGCGGUCCAAGGCGCUGGUUUUAGGCACCAGUCUCUUCUGAGACGUGGGUUCGAA
rnacentral:tRNA from 1 species